rnacentral:tRNA from 1 species
GCACCUGUAGUUCAACGGAUAGAACAUUUGGUUGCGGACCAAAAGAUUGGAGGUUCAAUUCCUCCCAGGUGCA